GGGCCCAUAGCUCAGGUGGUCAGAGCACCUCGUUUACACCGAGGGGGUCGGGGGUUCGAGCCCCUCUGGGCCCA
rnacentral:tRNA from 1 species